UACGUAGGGGGCUAGCGUUGUCCGGAUUUAUUGGGCGUAAAGAGCGUGUAGGCGGCCAGGUAGGACUGCUGUGAAAACUCGAGGCUUAACCUCGAGAUGUCGGCGGAAACCAUCUGGCUAGAGUCCGGAAGAGGAGAGUGGAAUUCCUGGUGUAGCGGUGAAAUGCGCAGAUAUCAGGAAGAACACCCGUGGCGAAGGCGGCUCUCUGGGACGGUACUGACGCUGAGACGCGAAAGCGUGGGGAGCGAACAGG
rnacentral:rRNA from 1 species